rnacentral:misc_RNA from 1 species
AUUCUAGUAGGACUAAGGAUUUACUCUAGUGGAUAUUUUCUUUUUAGUCUGCGGAUCUGGUCCGUCGUGUCCAGUAGUUGGGUGACUAGUGGGUUGUGGUGGUUGUUGACUCUUGUGUUAUAUCUGCUUCUGGACUUGUGUAUUUCAUCUUUGACUGUAGAUAUCUUGAGGUCUCGGUGGAUUGUUUCGUUGGUAACAUACCAGGGUGCAUUUAAUAGGGAUCUUAGCGUUUUCGAUUGGAAGCGUUGGAGUAUUUCAAUGUUGGAGUUACUUGCUGUUCCCCAUAGUUGGAUUCCGUAGGUCCAGACAGGUUUUAUUAUGGCCUUGUAGAGGGUUAUUUUGUUCUGUAUGUUUAGUUUGGAGCGUCGGCCCGUGAGCCAAUAGAAUUUUCUUAGUUUUUCCUUUAGUUGCUUUGUUUUUUCCGAGAUAUGUUUUUUCCAGGUUAGCCUCCUGUCCAGGGUCAUGCCCAGGUAUCUUACGGAGUCCUUGCUUGGGAUUAUUGUGUUGUUAAUGGUGACCUGGGGGCAGGUUUGUUUUCGGAGCGUGAAGAUUACAUGGGAGGAUUUUUUUUUCGUUUAUUUUAAAACCCCAUUUUUGAAACCACUUUUCCAUGGAGUCGAGACUUCGCUGGAGAGUGGAUGAGGCAAUUGCCGGGUCUGCGUGGGUAGCUAAUAGUGCUGUGUCGUCGGAAAAUGUUGCUAUUGUUACCUCGUUUGAUAUGGGUAAGUCGGCAGUGUAGAUGGAGAACAGUAGGGGUCCGAGGUC